rnacentral:rRNA from 1 species
UAGGGAAUAUUGCACAAUGGGCGAAAGCCUGAUGCAGCAACGCCGCGUGCGCGAUGAAGGCCUUCGGGUUGUAAAGCGCUUUUCGGGGAGAUGAGGAAGGACAGUAUCCCCGGAAUAAGGCUCGGCUAACUACGUGCCAGCAGCCGCGGUAACACGUAGGAGCCAAGCGUUAUCCGAAUUCACUGGGCGUAAAGCGUGUGCAGGCGGCUCGGUAAGUUGGAUGUGAAAUCUCCUGGCUCAACUGGGAGAGGCCGUUCAAUACUGUCGAGCUAGAGGGCGACAGAGGGAGGUGGAAUUCCCGGUGUAGUGGUGAAAUGCGUAGAUAUCGGGAGGAACACCAGUGGCGAAAGCGGCCUUCUGGGUCGUACCUGACGCUCAGACACGAAAGCUAGGGGAGCAAACGGG